UACGGAGGGAGCUAGCGUUAUUCGGAAUUACUGGGCGUAAAGCGCACGUAGGCGGCUUUGUAAGUAAGAGGUGAAAGCCCAGAGCUCAACUCUGGAAUUGCCUUUUAGACUGCAUCGCUUGAAUCAUGGAGAGGUCAGUGGAAUUCCGAGUGUAGAGGUGAAAUUCGUAGAUAUUCGCAAGAACACCAGUGGCGAAGGCGGCUCACUGGCCCGGUACUGACGCUGAGGUGCGAAAGCGUGGGGAGCAAACAGG
rnacentral:rRNA from 1 species